UUCUCUGAUGACAUUCCAAAAUUUCCUGUCAAAUUUAAUUUUUUCAUUACCUCUAUCUACAGAUCGAUCAUAAGCAUACUGUCUAUACUGGUUAGGUCUCUGAUUAUAGUGCUGUCCGUUCCGGGUGACAUUAGCCUGAUUUUGAAAAUUCCUUGCCCCAAACUGACAGACUCCCAGUGGAGCAUUUAGUCGUUUAAAGGCCUAUGUCUGUCGUUUCCCUGCCUCGGGUUACCUUCUCUCAUGUCAUUACCCCAGGACCUGUUUCGAUUUUCCCAUUCUCUGUUUGAAUUAAAGUGCUGAUCAUUCCUACCAAAAUUUCUUCUGUCACUGCUAUUAUAAUUAUUCCUGUUGUUAAAGUUUCUUCGUUCACUAUUAUUGUUAUUAUUUCCACAGUUCGGUUCCCACCCUCUGUGUGAUGAACCUACAAAGUCGUUAAAUCUGUUGUUUUGUUCAAAGGCUCUAUCAAGUUUGUCCACAUAUUUCAAGAAUUGUUCUAUGGACUCAUCUGGACCAUAUACUAAACCCCAUUGUACUCUUUUCGGAAAUCUCCGUUUUAGUGCAUCAAUUUGAGUUAGCUCAUCAAAUGGCUUAUCCACAUGCACUAAUUUUUGCAAAUGUUUCUCACAAUAGGCUUUCAUUGACCCAUCAGAUUCUCUGUAACUAGGACCAUUCAAGAAUUCACUUUUGAUUCGAGCUUGCUCAGUUUCAGACCAAAAUUUGGUUAGAAAACAUUUUUCGAAAUCUUCAAAGGACAUUUCCGCGGAACAAUUCUGAUUGGCCCACGAAAGUGCCUCACCAUCAAGUAAUUUCUUUACAAAUUUUAUCUUAACACUAUCUGUCAUUAUGGACGUGAACUGCUCCUUGCAGAAUUGCAUGAAGUCUUUUGGGUGUAUAUGCUUGUCACCGGGAUAAGUUUUAAUGGGAAAAUUUCCCCAUACCCCAUUACAACUAUUACUAAAACCUUUUUGCAACAUAAUUUCUUGUAUUUCUACAAAUUUUCAGUCUACAGUUUUUUCGACAUUACCUACUCUACUACAAAUUUCUGUGACCUUUUUGUCAGAAUCAGAUUUGAAAGAUUCAAUUUCUCUUUCAAAAAAUCGUUUUGUCUGGUCAAAUUCAUUUCUCAAUUGAGAAUUUUCCUCAUUUACAAAAUCAACAACUUUUUUAAGUUUUGACUGGUUAUUUGAAAUUUUGUUACUUAGAUCAGUUUCAAGGACAGAAAUUUUGCUCUCAACCGUGUCCACACGACAACUAAGUUCUUUUUGGUUUGACUCAAAAGUAAUUCGCCAUUCUUCGAGAACCUGAUUAGUGUGAGCAAUCUGUUCUGUAUUUGAAUUUAUUUCUGAUUUUAAAUCACACACAUCCUUCGAAAUCGACCUGUCCAUCUGUUGUUGUGUCUGUUCAAUUUGUUGACGUAAUUCGGCACGAGAAUCGUCGAUCUUCGAGUUUGUGUUGUCCAACUUCGAGUUUAACUCUGAAAACAUUUGUUUUAACAUUUCCAACAUUCCUACACUGUCAGAAGCACUUUCCCUAAUAGGUGUACUCGCUACACCGCUGUCAAUACUGAAAACUGCGUCUUUUUCCAUUAUUUUAGGAAGCAGGUACUUAUCUUAGCGUCCGUCGGCGGUUGUUGGUGUCCGUGUUUUGCGAAAUUUCUUCAAUUCCAGGAUGGUUUCGCUCGCUUGAUUCACUCCUCUGCUUGUGACCCCAGAAUCGACAUAUUUACUUCUGAAGAAUGACUGGUCCGUCGUAUAUCCUCUUCUUGUGGUCCUAAAACAGACAUAUUUUCUUCUUGUGAUCCCAGAAGAGACGUAUUUUAUUUUGAAGAAUCACUGGGUGGUCGUCAUAUCCUCUGCUUCCUCCACCAAAUUAUAACAUUUCAGCUCCUCAACACCAAAUUAAAACGUUGUAUUAGGAGGUGUCUGCUUCGUGCAAAAGGUCUUGAGUUCAUAUUGACGACAACAAGUAAUUCUUCAUUACAGACGUUUAUUUACAAACAGAACUGACAGACUCAACAACCGACUCUCCGAGCCAACCGCACUGCACAUCCGGGCUGGCAACUGACAACUCCUAGGUGUAUUAAUAUCUUUCCAAACAAUGAGAGUCUUUGACAAUGUUUUGUUUACAAUACGAUAGCAAUUCACGACUUAAAACUAAAUUAGACAUUACAGAAUUUUAGUAUAGAUUAAAAACUGACACUCAGAUAUUUGGCCUCUGGCGAUUUCCUUCUACGUAUUGGAGAAUUCAUUGGUCCACAUUUGCUCCCCCACAAGCCCAAAAUGGAUGUGGAUAAUGAAGCAGAGGAAGUGAUGUUUCAAGAAAUAAUUCAACUACAUUGUUCAGACCUACAAACUGUCAGUCAGUGCCCUCUGUUCUGAGAAUGGAUGUGCCUCAUUUGUUCUGGGUGCAGGAGUGGAACAUUCCUAAGGCUGUCUGAUCCAAGACUUGACACUGACUGAUCCAAGGACAUAAUCUUCAUGAACAUGGUGCAUGGUUUGAAUGAGUGGAUGUGGGCUGAGCAGCUGACAAGUGAGUGCUGCUGUGAUCGCAAAUGGUUACACUUGAAUCAUGGAUGCUCUGUGACAGUAUGCCGUCGGUGGAGAGUGGGAAAACAGCUGGUCAGUAGAUAAGAAUUAAUGGUAACACUCGCAGCCAAAAACUCUUUUCCACUCUAUUGAUUGGCUGGUACAGCAACCAUUACGAAUUAUUUCGAAAAGAAAACAGUGUUCUUGGGCAUUAUCAAAUCAUCUGCAAACAAGGGGGAAAAAAGGAAAAAUAUUAAUAAGAAAAGGGCACCCCUACAAGUAAAUUAAAAAACGUUGUAAGAUGGGGCCACACUUACAAAUCUGUUCAAAUGUGGCAUCAUUUGUAUACACAGAGUAACAUACGCCUCUUGGGUGAACUACAACCAUUCUAAGUGCACAUGCAUUAUCGGUGUUAAAGACACUUACAUAAGGUAUGAACUAUUAUAAAUUAAUGGAUGACCACCAGCCCAAACCCCCUGUUUGCACAUUAAAGACCAGACCAAACAGGAAAAAUUUAUACGGCUGUAUAAUCAAAAUUAAAAGGAUAAAUUUAUUCAAUCAAGCUAUACAAAAUCAAAUCACUUAAUCACAUGAUAAAAUAAUGUAGAAAAUUAAUAAAAUGUGAGUUCUGCACUCUAGUGAUGAGGACACCCUCUCAUAUUAUGUUUCUUUACUAUCACUACCCCCCUUUUACACCUUGCAAAAGCAACACUGAAAUGCUUUGAGAAUACAUAAGUAUUUGCCCCAUUAUAUUUUGCAGUGAAGGUGAGUAUGUGGUAGGUUAGAAUCAUUAUGCUGGGGCACAUGGUAGUAGUUUCCAAUGAGAAUAUUUAUUCCUCAGUUCACAUGUCAGAAAUGCAUGUAACAUGCCAACUCAAUAGUUGGCUGGUGCCUGGACAUGAAACAUGUAUUGGAAAUAAUGCUGGUUUAUCUAUCGGGUACACUUUUUAUUUUUUUCAGUCUAUUUUUAUCCAUUCAUUCGGCAAAGCAGUUUACGACAAAGAUUAAAACACAGUAUUGCCACAGCAAUCAAGCCUGUGAAGCUAGUGAGAAAAGAUGAAUGACAUAAAUUUUCUUAUGUUUGUAAAAACUCCUAUCAGAUCUUUCAUUGAUCUUGGAUUGUCUGUCUUUC